AGCCCCUCCCGUCUCCUCUCCCCCGCAGCGCCACCGCCGCCCCCGCAUCUCGUCUCCACCGCAGGCCGCCCCCGCAUCUCGUCCCCACGGCAGCGCUGCCACCGAGCUUCUCCUCGCCCUGGCGUCGACAUCUCCGCUGACCCCGGCGCCGCUGUCCGCACCUGCCUCGGGGCGCCAUCUGCACGGGCCCAGCGCUGGUGCCGGCACCACCGUCUGCUCUCAUCAUGCACAACCAAGUGCAGGUGAGAUGGCGUGGUGGAGCAGCGACAGGUACACACGAUCCAUGCGUGCACAAGUGCAGGUGAGGAGCCGUGAUGGAGCAGCUGCCGGCAUGUAGGAUCCCUGUGUGAUUUUUGCAAAUCUAGCCCACGAGGCAUUCGGGCUCUUGUGUGGAAGCAUCAGCUGGAGCUAAGCUCUUGGGGCUGGGCUGUAGGCAUCGGGGUAUGUCCUCCUCCUCCUUCGAGCUCGCACUGCGCGACCCCUUGCCCAUUUGCUGCCACUUGUUUUGUUUCAUGGAUGAUCAAUGACCCAGCUGAUACAAGUCCUAAUUGAUGGCAAGUGGAAGACAAAAUGAACCCUAUAUGAUGUGCAUGUGGAUUGUUUGCUGAAGCAUCCAUGGGCUAGAAGAUACAGAUUUUCUUUAUAGAGUAGAUUAUUCCCCUUCUUUUGUAUGAUUUCUGCCAAUUCACAUACGAUAUUUCAAACUGAUGGUGUCAUUUCUAUAAUUAAUCAAUUUGGCUGAUCUCUAUGGUUCUC